rnacentral:rRNA from 1 species
AGAGUUUGAUCAUGGCUCAGGAUGAACGCUAGCGGGAGGCCUAACACAUGCAAGCCGAGCGGUAGAGAUUCUUCGGAAUCUUGAGAGCGGCGUACGGGUGCGGAACACGUGUGCAACCUACCUUUAUCUGGAGGAUAGCCUUUCGAAAGGAAGAUUAAUACUCCAUAGUAUAUUGAUUGGCAUCAAUUGAUAUUGAAAGCUCCGGCGGAUAGAGAUGGGCACGCGCAAGAUUAGUUAGUUGGUGAGGUAACGGCUCACCAAGACGAUGAUCUUUAGGGGCCUGAGAGGGUGAUCCCCCACACUGGUACUGAGACACGGACCAGACUCCUACGGGAGGCAGCAGUGAGGAAUAUUGGUCAAUGGGUGCAAGCCUGAACCAGCCAUCCCGCGUGAAGGACGACUGCCCUAUGGGUUGUAAACUUCUUUUGUAUAGGGAUAAACCUACCCUCGUGAGGGUAGCUGAAGGUACUAUACGAAUAAGCACCGGCUAACUCCGUG